rnacentral:rRNA from 1 species
UACGGCGGUCGCGAGCGUUAUUCGGAUUCACUGGGCGUAAAGGGCGCGUAGGCGGUUUGUUAUGUGGGGUGUGAAAGCCUUCCGCUUAACGGGAGAAGUGCACUUCAAACUGGGGGGCUUGAGGAUGGGAGAGGGGAGUAGAACUCCUGGUGGAGCGGUGAAAUGCGUAGAUAUCAGGAGGAACACCUGUGGCGAAGGCGGCUCACUGGGACAAUACUGACGCUGAGGAGCGAAGGCGUGGGGAGCAAACAGG